UUGCUCUCUUCAGCAGCACAUAUACUAAAAUUGGAACGUUGCAGAGAAGAUUAUCAUUGGCCCCUGCACAAAGAUGACAUGCAAAUUCGGGAAGCAUUCCAUAUUUUU